CCUAUCCAGGAUGAUGAGUUGAUCUCAUAGAUACUCCACGGGCUGGACGUCGACUACCAGCCGCUCGUCUCUACCCUCCACGCCCACGUCACGGCUAUCACCCUCGACGAGCUCUAUGCCAUGCUGAGUAACUUCGAUC
rfam:Triticum aestivum genome assembly, contig: Triticum_aestivum_CS42_TGACv1_scaffold_096516_2AL